AUGGUCAUUAGAAUUUAGAACAAUAUUUAUAUGGCUCCCUGUGGUGAAUCAACAAUUAUUUUCUAUGGCUUCAAUUUUCAGAGCUUAAAUAAUGAACAUAGCAAUACCACCAAAGAAACAGUCAUUAAAUAUCAAUAUAAAAUAAAGUGGAAGAAAAAGAGAAAAACAGCAAGCUGCUCAUUGCAGUGUUUCCAACUGAGACUCUGUUCUGCAGACUCCAGGGGAUUGGCACGGAUUGAGCUGUUACUAGAGGCUGGGGUUACACACGGUAGGCUGUAGACUUUCGGGGGCAGAAACAAGUCAAUUUCUAUUCUGAAAACCUGGGACUGCCUAAGAAAAUCCAAACCUAUCAAACAGAAGCUUUGCAGAAGUGUAGUUAAUGGCAUAAAAGAGUGCUCAGAGACUCAGCCACAGAGACUUUCUGAUAGCUGAUGCCAGGUACAGCAAAAAACAGAAUGUCCAGUUGGGGGAAGUUAACCAAGCUCCUCUGAAUUCUUCUUCUUGAGCCCAUCCUCUGCUCACUGGUCCCCAUUUUAUAACCACGCUCAAGGAGCCUAGGCUUCUCUGCUUCUCUUACAACUUGCUUAAUAUCACUACUUUAUCCAUUCUGUACUGUUGCAGGCUGAAGGUGACAUUACACUUAGAGGGAUUCACAGAUUCAAGAGGCUGCUUGGCGAGGGCAGCACAGUGAGGUACAAGGACUUUGACAUCAGAGAGGCCUGGAUUCAAGUCCCAAUGUCUGUAUGUGGUAACCAGUAUGCAAGAGAGCCUGUGAUGAUUCCUGCCUCCUCGUAUUCAUGUCCUUGUAGUUCCCUUGCACAUUGAGUCAGGGCUGGCUCUGGGUGACCAAUAGAAUGUGGAGGAAGUGAUGGGGUAUGAAUUCCAAGGCUAGGUCACAAAAGGCAUUGUAUCUUUCACCUCUUAGGUCUCUCUCUCUGGGGAAGCCUGCCACCACUCUGCAAGGACUCUCGAGCAGCUCCAUCUACAGAUUCACAUGGAGAAGAAUUAAAGGCUCCUGCCAAUCACCAGCACAAUUUUGCCAGCCUUGUAAGUGAGCCACCUUCGAACUGGAGCCUCCAGCUCCUACUGACAUCUGACUGCAACGUCAUGAGAGACCCUGAGUUUGAACCACCCAGCUGAGCUGCUUCUGAGCUAAGCCACUGAAACCAUGAGAAAUAAUCAUUAUUGUUUUAAAUCCUAAAUUUGGGAGUGAUAUGUUAUACAGUCAUAUUAACAAGAACUUAACCUUUCUAAGUAUUGGGGGCAUUUAGGGCUGAUAUUCAUCUGGGAGGCACCUGUACAGCUGUAUCAAUUGUUCAGUUCUUUAAAUAUUCCUGAGUUGCUUGGUAAAAAGCCCUGAUCUUGAAUUGCAAGCUCCCUGAGGUGCCUUGCAAAGACAAAUCAAAUCCUCCUCAGAGGAAGGUAUCAUUAUCCUUGCCUUCAAAUUACUUCAGCAAGCAUUUUACAAAUACCAUGUUCAGCACACAACCAAAGAUAAACUUACAUAUGGUUAAAAACAGAAUUUUUCAGACACCCAGAAGACAUCCUUCACUGAGGGCUUAUGUGAUAGAAAAAUUAAGCAUAUGAUGACAAUGGAUUCAGUGUAUGGCAUGCAGGAAUAAAUCAACAGUUGGGAAAGGUGUAAAUGGCCCUAAUGAGAGAGGAAAGAGGCUCCCAUUGCUUCCCAAGACUGGGACCCAUCUCUACGAAUCACAGAGAACAAAUCUGUCUCCUUGCUGUUCUCCAGAGGGGAGCUGGACCUCAGAUGGGUUAACCAGAGAACCAGGACCCCGAGAGCCCAAACCCUCAUUUUUCUGAAAAUUCCCAUGUCCAAGUUUGGCUGGAGAAGAUCCAAAUUGCCUCUUCAAGAUAGCUGGUGCCAUGGACCUAUAAAAGGGACCAACGUGUUCAGAGGACCACGAAUCCUUACCUGAAGGUUCUAGACUGCAUGACACCUAGAGGUUCCUAGAAAACAUGACUGAGGGAAAAUGCUCCUCUAACCAGAAGGAUGGAGACUUAGACUAGCUAGUAUCAGAUUGAGGGGAAAAAGGUUUUGUUUUGUUUUGUUUUGCACCAAGUAUGUAAAAAAAUUAAAACCUACUGUAGAAUAUUAGCAAGAUCUUCAACAAGUCUCUCAUUAUACAAAUGAGGAAAUUAAGAACCAGGAGGUUAGAAAUUCAAUCCCAGCAUGCUGACUCACAGACCACAUGUAGCCUUUCCUUACAUCCCACUGCUCUGAUGGAUAUUGUUAAACACUAUUUCUUCCUUACUCUUAGGAUAUCAGUGCCUUGAAUGUCACAGACUACCUGGCACUUGUUUCCCAACAAGCUAAUAUUAACCCACACAAACUGAAAGCCUCAACUUGACAUUAUUUGUAGCAUCCCUUUCUAAACCCAAAUUCCAGUAUCCACUGCAACCUUCUAGGUAGGCAUCCAGAAAGGUCUUUCUUCUGAUCCUGCCAACUCAUCAUGGCACAUGGUUUUGAGUAGCGCCACAGAGAAUAUCUUAUUUCUCUGAGCUUUAAUUAAGAGUGAUAUAUGCUGGAAACACAGAGCUUCCUGUUUCCUCUUUGUAAAUUUUGAUAAGUGAUUCCCCAGUGGUUGGAAUUUGCCAAGGACCCCCAGCCCCAUUCAUGGAUGAGCUCUUUACCCCUAAAGAUGACCAAGGAGAGCCUCAGUGCCUCUCUGCCAGUCUUGGGAGGCAAGAAUGAUCCACAUAAUAUCAAAGAUUUCUCCCAACCCUAAGAACUCUGGUCAUAUAGGGGAAGGAAUGCAUUAAUUACUAAAAAUAAUUUUUUAAAUGAUUUGGCAUAAUUUCUGGGGUGCCUACUCUGUUUUACCAACGUCCCCUUCCACGUUCAUCAACCACCAUGAGUUUCAUUAUCUUCUCUGCACCUCCAUAGCAACCUCUGUCAUGGUCUGGAGAAGCUUAGCUUUCAACUCCAACUAUCUGUCAAGACCUGAGCAAGUCCACUAACUCCUCUGAAACUCAGGCUCUUCAGUAGAUGGACCUAAUGAAGAAGAAAGAGGCUUCCAUUGUGUCCCAAGACUGGGACCCAGCUCUAGGAAUCACUGAGAACAAAUUCCUCCACUUACUGUUCUCCGGAGGUAGCUGGACUUCAGAUGGGAUAACCAGAGAACCAGAAUCUCCAGAGCCCAGAGUCUUAUUUCUCAAAAUUCCCAUGUCCAAGUUUGGAUGGAGAACACCCAAGUUGCCUCUUUAAGGUGGCCUGAACCACGGACCUAUGAAAAGGACCAGCAUGUUCAAAGGACCAGGCAUCCUUUCCUGAACUUGGCAGCUGUGUGAAGAUGGGAAUGGAGGAGGCAGGGUAGGCAGUGGGUGACGCAGCCACAGCUUGGGUUCUCUGCAGCCCUGGCACAGAAGAUAGGAACACCCAUGGGGGAUGCAGCCACCAUGAUGUCUUCCCACACAAGGAGUGCCAAGUGCUUUUCUCACGCUUUUCUGGAUUGUUCCAUGGUGGAUGAGUCAGCAGGAGUGAGAUGGAGCCGCAGAGUGGAGGGGUAUCUGGUUCCUUAGAUCCUGGGAUGAGGAGGUUGACCAGAAGGUGGGCUUGGGAAGGUAGCCUGGGGUGCAAAUCCUCUUGGCUCUUCAGCUUGGCAGGAUGUCACCCUCAGUGUCUGAAAGCUGGGUUUGAUGCGUCUGGAAAAGCGUCCCUCACAGGCGUCGUUGCUGGGAGCCCCUGGUGCCGCCAGCAGCUAGCAGGGAGCAUGUCCUCUGCCUGCUCACUUCUGACCCUUCUCUCGCUGCACGGAUGAGGACCUUAGGACAGAAUGACUCUAAACCCGCUCCUGUCCACGGUGUGAGCAUUUCCUGAUGUGAAAGCUUCAACCGCAGUCUCAACAUUGAGCUCUUCCAAGGCAUAAAAUAAUCAGUUAAAAUUAUUACGUGUUAUAAAGAUGCUGGCCCCAGAGAAGAGUGAGACCCGGAACACAGUGCAGCUGGGAGCAGCCUGGGCUGCGCAGAAGGCUCAGAUCUGGCGACGGCCCUUGCCAGUGACUGUGACCUGGGGUGUCUUAGAGACUCUGAGUCUCAGCUUCUCCAUAUAUAAGAUGAGAAGAACCAGCCUCAGAACAAUAUUCUAUAGCUUCAAACUUGCCUGAGAACCAGCCUCAGGCAAGGUUGUUUGUGCAUUAGUGAAAUCAGACGUAUUAAAUAAAGUACCACAUUGAUCAUGGAGUUGUUGAAUAACCAAGAACACACCUAUCUGUCUCCAAAAAAUAAAUGUUGAAAAUGA